AGCAGCCGCUCAGAGCUGCAGAGGAGAGAGGCUGCAGGGCGUGCAAGAAGGAUUGUUCCUGUGGAAUUUUUGGUCCGUCUUAGAAAUCUGCCUAACCCACGGUCACAAAGGCUCUCUCGUAUGUUUUCUGAUAGAAAUUUUAGGAUUUUACUGUUUCUGUUUAGCUCUAUUAGAGCUAGUUUUUGCAUGGGCUGGAUCCUAAGUCGCUUUUUUGCAUAUGGAUGGCUGGUGUUCCAAGAGUUUUCAUUUUCACUGAAUAUCCUUUGCACGUACGUCGAAAUUCAGUUCUUAAAAAUCAGUGGCAAGGGCAAUGGACAUUUGCCCAAUGGUUAUGACUAAGGUGUCUCAGAGCACCUGGGUUCCAUUUUCAGCUCCUAACUCCAGCUUCCUGCUAAUGUAGAUCCUGGGAGGCAGCAGGUGAUGGCUCAAGAGUUGGGGCCUGGACUGAGUUUCUGGCUCCCUGGCUUUUACGGGCCCACAGAGAGAAAACUUGAGAGAAUCCAGAGAAAGCUACUCUGCCUCCAGUGGUGCUGGUUGGGGGAGAAACGCAGCCAUUGCUGAAAUCUGUCAGCCUCAAUGCCUCUGACUCUAACUCAACUACAGAUGAAAUAUACCUGGGGGGAUGGUAGUGGAAUUGUCCGCAACUGGAGCAGGGGAGUGGAGGUCACCACUGCUGUGGAUCGCAUUGUGUCCUCUCCCCAAAUUCAGCUGCUGAAGCCGUCUCCUGGUGUGACUACAUGUAGAUAGGGCCUAUAAGGAUGUAGUUAAGAUAAAGUCACUGCUAUUGACUCCUGACAUAGAGGUCGUCAAAAAGUUUGUGGACAAUGUGUACUAAUGAAACCGAUCUGCUUUUCAAUAAUUCCCAUAUCAAUGAAGGUGUGGGCUCUUGCCAAGACUUCAGAGGAGGAUUCUGAACACUGGCUGAAAUAGACCAGGCAGCAUGAUUUAUUUAUGCAUUUGAAAAGCAGAAUUACAGAGAGGCAGAGACAGAAAAAGAGGUCCUUCAUCUGCUGGUUCACUCCCCAGAUGAACGCAAUGGCUGGAGCUGCGCUGAUCCCAAAGCCAGGAGCCAGGAGCUUCUUCCAGGUCUCCCACAUGGAUGCAGGGGCCCACAGAACUUCAGCCAUCUUCUACUGCUUUCCUAGGCCAUAGCAGAGAGCUGGAUCUGAAUUGGAGCAGCCAGAACUUGAACCAGCACUCAUAUGGGAUGCCAGCACUGCAGUCAGCAGCUUUACCUGCUAUGCCACAGCACCGGCCCCCAUACUAUUUUAUACACUUCUAUACAAGACCUUAUAAUGAUACCUUAAAAUCUCCCUUCCCAACAUUUAUGCUACUGUUGCCAUAUAGUUUAUACCUUAUUUAUACAUGUUCUAAGCUCCAUGCUACAUUGUUAUUUUGUUUAAACUAAAAGUUGACUUUUUUAAAAAAACGAUUUAUUUAUUUGAAAGGUAGAGUUAGAGGAGAGAGAGAGAUCUUCCAUCUGCUGUUCAUUCCCCUAAUGGGCCAGGCCAAAGCCAGGAGCCAGGAGCCAGGAGCCAGGAGCUUCUGAAACUCCCACCAGGAUGCAGGGCCCUAGGUACUUGGGCCAUCCUCUGUUGCUUUUCCCAGGCACAUUAAUAGGGAGCUGGAUCCGAAGUGAAGCCAUCAGGACUCAUGGAAUGCCGGCGUUGCAGGUCAUGGCUUAACCCUUUGUGUCACUGCACCAGCCUCCUAUCAGUUAACUUUUAAAGACUCAAAUAGUAAGAAAAUAAUAUAUUUACAACCUGUAUUUAUCAAUCUUAGUGCUCUUCUGUUACAUCUUAAAAUAUCUUUUCUAUUCUUGCCUAGAUUUCAAAUACAUAUACUGUUGUUUUGAUAUUUUUUUCUGUCCAAAGUCUUCUUGUUAACCACGUUGACAACUUCUUUUUCUACCCCUUACUUUCCCCUCUCCUCUCAUCCUUCCUACUGCUCCCCCUACCCCCUCAACCUCUUCUUCCUCAUAAAGAUUUUGCUCCACUGUAUUUCUUUUUGCACUGUGUCCAGUGAGAAAGCUGCUGUCAUUCUUAUCUUUGUAUAUAAUAUUUCCCACCUUUGGUACUUUUUUUUUUUUAAAUCACUGGUUUGAACAGUUUAUGACUUGCCUAUCUAUAUUUUUCUUCAUGUUUCUUAUAUUUGGGAUUUUUUUUCUAGAUCUACCACUUUAUAGAGGUAAUUUAAUUAUAGAGGUAGAGUUUCAUCAAAUUUGGAAAAUAUUUUGGCUUUUACUUCUUUAUUUUUUCUACUUCCUCCAUCCCUUUCCCCCAGGGGACCCAACUUACCUGCAUAUUAGGUGUCUUGACACUCCUUCAGAACUUAGGAUAAAACUGUUGAAUUUAUUGGACUUAUGUUUUUUUCUCUGUGUGCUUAAUUUUGAGUAAUUCCUAUUGCUGGGCCUGCAAGUUCACUAAUCUUUUAUCUUCAAUGUUUAAUCUGUGUUUAGUCCAAUCCAAUGUAAUUUACAUCUCAUCCUUUGUUGUUUUCAUCCACAGACAUUAGAUUUGGAGGCAGGCAUUUGGCCUAGCAGUUUAAGCUGUUGGUUAGUAUGCUAGUGUCUCAUAUCUGAACAACUGGAUUUAAUUCCUGGCUUCCUGACAGUGCAAACUCUGGGAGGCAGUGGUGAUGGCUCAAGUAGUAAUGUUCCUGUCCUCUGUGUGGGAGACUUGGGUUGAGUACUGCUUCCCAACCAAGCUCCACCUGUGUGGGCAUUUGGGAACUGAACCAAUGGAUGACAGCACAUUCUCCCUCUCUCUCUCUGUAUCCCAUAUAAAUUAAGUUAUAUAUUGGGUCUUUAAAAAAAUUUCUAUCAUGUUUUACCUGAUCUGUUCUUCUACUACUUCGUUUUGAUAUUGUUUAGUUUUGAAUCGUUUACCUUUAUUUCUAUAAAAUUUUAACUUUAUAUUUAAAAUUGUUUUACAGUAAUAUAAUUUUUGAUGAAAGGAAGAGAAUGAGAGACAUAGAGAGAUAUUCCAUCCACUGGUUCAUUCCCCACAUGCCUGCAAAAGUCACGUCCAGCCCAGCUGAAGCCAGGAUCAUGGAACUUGAUUCAGGUCUCCCACAUAGGUGCCAGGGACCCAAGUACCUGAGCCAUCAUCUACUGCCUCCCAGGGUGGACAUUAGCAGGAAACUGGAUUGGAAGUAGACGAGCCAAGACUUGGAACCAGGCACUUUGAUAAAGGAUGUAGGUGUUCUAAGCAGCAUCUUAACCAUUGUUCCCAAUGCCUGCCCCUACUGUUGUUCUUUUUUUUUUUUUUUUAAGAUUUAUUUUAUUUAAUUGAAAAGCAGAGUUAGAGAAAGGGAGAGAGAAAGAGAGCUUCCAUCCACUGGUUCACUCCCAAAAUGACCAAAAUAUCCAGGGCUGGGCAGGCCCAAACCCAGAGCCAGGAGCUUCAUCCGGGUCUCCCACAUGGGUAUUGGGCCCAAGUACUUGUGCCAUCCUCUGCUGCUUUACCAGGUGCAUAAGCAGAGAGCUGGAUCAGAAAUGAAGCAGCUGGAUCGCAAACCUGCACACAUAUGGGAUGCUUUCUUAUAGUGGUGGCUUACCCAUUGUUGCACCAUAAUGCUGGGUCCCAUUCUUAAGUCCUAUUUUUGUACUACCAUUUUAUAUUUCUCUUUUAUUCCACUUUGUCUCACAAUUUUCAGUCAACUGAAAUUUAAGCAUGAAUUAUUUUGCAGCUCCAAAAACAGUGUUCACAUAGGAAACACUGGAUAUUGUCUAUUGAAUUAUAUUCAUAACACUGAAGUGUUUGCUUUUAUAAAUUUGUAUUGGCUUUUACCUUUCAAUUCACUGUGUAUUCCACCAGUCUCCUCUGCUCACUCCAACCUGGCAGCAUUGCCGGGACUCACAUUUUCAGGUCUCUCCUGCCUUAGCAUUUCACAUUUGCCACCAUUCCUGCCUGGGACACCCAACCCCAUGGCCCAGAAUCUCCAUUGUUUACCCCAUUGUAACCCACUCCACAACUACCCUCGCUGCCUUAUACUGUUAUUUUUCUCUCCAUUGUAUAUCACCAACAACAACUGACAAUACUUAACUGUGAUUCUUACUUAUUUCAUCAGUCAUUCACAUACACAGAUUUCAUGGACAGAUAACAUGUCUAUAUGGGGAUCUAUCUCUGUAUACUCCCACAACAAUGUAAGCUCCACAGGCAGGAAUCUCUUUCCCGCUGGAAUACUCCUAGUCCUAAAACAAUACUCGGCACAUGUAGGUAUACAAUGAAUGUGGAAAUACUGCUGUCUUUACUCAAUUUUAAUGUUUUAAUUUACUUCUUCUUCUAAUAUAUUUAUUGUGGGACUAGUUCUGAAUGAAAAGUACACCCAAGGAUUAGAGAUCCUAAAGAGAAGCCAGAAUGAAAUACUGGAAAUGAAAAACUCAAUUGACCAUAUAAAAAACACCAUGGAAUCCCUCAGAAAUCAAACAGAUGAAAUAGAAGAGCAAGUAUCAGAACUUGAAGACAAACUUCCAAAAAUAAUACAGUCAGAUCAAACACAGGAAGAAUUUAGAAAAUUAAAAAAUAUGGUUGGAGACCUAAAAGAUUCAAUCAAGCAUUGUAAUGUUCAGAUACUAGGAGACCCUGAGGGUGUGGAAAGAGAGAAUGGAUUGGAAGGCAUUUUCAAUGAAAUAAUAUCAGAAAACUUCCAACAGAGGCAGAUUGAUAAUAACAACCAAAUUCAACAAAUAGGAGCCUCAAAAAGUUAGACCAGAAGAGAAAUUCACUGCGACACAUUGUGGCAACAUUCAGUCAGUGAAACACAAAGAACAAAUUCUAAAAUAUGCCAGAGAGAAAAGACAAGUCACAUGCAGGGGUAAUUUAAUCAGACUCACCCCAGACUUCUCAUCGCAAACACUACAGGCAAGGAGACAAUGGCACGGUAUAUUCCAAGUUUUAAAAGACAAACAAUUCCAACCUAGAAUACAAUAUCCUGCAAAGCUAUCAUUUAUGAAUGAAGGGAAAAUAAACAUCUUCUGCAACAGAAACUGAAAGAAUGUGUAUCCUUGUGUCCAACCCUACAACAAUGGCUCAAAGACGUGCUGCACACAGAAGUACAAAAACAAGUACUUCACUACAAAAAAAAAAAAAAAAAAGCAAAUGUAGAAAACGACCCAACUAAGCCACAAACAAAUCUCAAAAUACAUAAACAGCUCGUUUUAGGAAACAUGAAUGGAAAAAGACAGUACUUAACAAUAGUCACACUGAAUGUGAAUGGCCUUAACUCUACUACCAAGAGACACAGACUAGCUGAUUGGAUCAAAAAAGAGAAUCCAUCUAUAUGCUCCCUUCAGGAAACACACCUUAUCAGCAAAGAUGCACACAGACUGAAAGUGAAAGGAUGGAAAAAGAUAUUCCAACCUAACAAAAAUCAAAAAAGAGCUGGUGUGGCCAUCCUAAUAGCAGACAAAAUAGACUUUAACACAAAAAAUUAUUAAAAGAGACAAAGAAGGGCAUUAUAUAAUGAUUAAAGGAUCAAUCCAACAUGAAGACACUACUAUUAUAAAUGUAUAUGCACCUAAUUACAGGGCACCUGGCUACUUGAAAGAAUUACUAAAGGACUUAAAGUGAGAUAUAGAUUCAUAUACAAUAGUAACAGGGGACUUGCAACACCCAACUCUCACCAAUGGACAGGUCAACCAGACAGAAAAUAAAGGAGACAACAGAGCUAAUUGACGCUAUAGACCAAAUAGACCUAGUAGAUAUCUUCAGAGCCUUCCACCCCACAGCCAGAGUUCACAUAUUUCUCCCCAGUACAUGGAAUGUACUCUAGGAUUGACCAUAUCCUAGGCCCUGAAGGGAGCCUCAACAAAUUAAAAAAAAAUUGAAACUAUACCAUGCAUCUUCUCAGACCAUAGCACAGUGAAACUCGAAAUCAACAACCCAAGAAUCUCUACACCAUAUGCAAACACAAGGAGAAUGGACAACAUGAUUUUGAAUGAACAGUGAGUCAUAGAAAAAAUCAAAAGAUUUCUAGAAACAAAUGAAAAUGACAACAUAAGCUAUCAAAACCUGUGAGAUACAGCAAAAGCAGUGCUAAGAGGAAAGUUUAUAGCAAUUGGUGCCUAUAUCAAGAAACUGGAAAGGAAUCAAACAAAUGACCUUCCGUGCACCUCAAGGAUUUAGAGAAACAGCAGCAAAUCGAGCCCAAAUCCAGCAAAAGGAAAGAAAUACUAAAGAUUAGAGAAGAAAUAAACAGAAUUGAAACAAACAAAAAACCACUAAAGAACAACAAAACCAAGAGCUGGUUCUUUGAAAAAAUAAACAAAAUAGACACAACAUUGGCCCAACUAACCAAAAAAAGGAGAGAGAAGACCCAAAUCUGUAAAAUCAAAGAUAGUAAUGGAAAUGUAACAACAGACACAACAGAAAUAAAAAGAAUCACCAGAAACCACUACAAAGAGAUGUAUGCUAACAUGGAAGAAAUGGAUAGAUUCCUGGAUACAUACAACCUUCCUAAACUGAGCCAUGAAGAUAAAGAAAAUCUAAACAGACCCAUAACCAUGAAAGAAAUUGAAUCAGUAAUAAACACACUACUGAAAAAUAAGAGCCCAGGACCGGAAGGCUUCACUGCUGAAUUCUACCAGACAUUUAAAGAACAACUAACUCCAGUUCUUCUCAAAUUAUUCAAAGACAAUUGAAAGGGAGAGAAUCCUCCCAAAUUCUUUCUAUGAAGCCAAUAUCACCUUAAUUCCUAAGCCUGGAAAAGACACAACAGAGAAAGAAAACUACAUACCUAUCUCCCUGAUGAACAUAGAUGCAAAAAUACUCAACAAAAUUCUGGCAAACCGAAUCCAACUGCACAUCAGAAAGAUCAUUCACCCAGACCAAGUGGGAUUUAUCCCUGGUAUGCAGGCAUGGUUCAGUAUUUGAAAAUCAAUCAAUGUGAUACAUCACAUUAACAAAUUGAGAAACAAAAAUCAUAUGAUUAUCUCAAUAGAUGCAGAUAAAGCAUUUGACAAUACAACACCCUUUCAUGAUGAAAACUCUAAGCAAAUUGGGGUUAGAAGGAACAUUCCUCAACACAAUUAAGGCAAUUUAUGAUAAACCAAUGGCCAGCAUCAUAUUGAAUGGGGAAAAGUUGGAGGCAUUUCCAUUGAAAACUGGCACCAGACAGGGAUGCCCACUCUCACCAUUGCUAUUCAAUAUAGUCCUAGAAGUUUUAGCCAGAGCCAUCAGGCAAGAAAAAGAAAUUAAAGGGAUACAAAUGGGAAAGGAAGAAGUUAAACUAUCCCUAUUUGCAGAUGACAUGAUCCUUUAUAUAGGGGAUCUGAUAAAUUCCUAUAAGAGACUAUUGGAACUCAUAGAAGAGUUUGGUAAAGUAGCAGGAUACAAAGUCAACGCUCAUAAAUUAACAGCCUUUGUAUACACAGACAAUGCUGUAGCUGAGGAGAACUUCUAAGAUCAAUCCCAUUCACAAUAGCCACAAAAACAAUCAAGUACCUUGGGAUAAAUUUAACCAAGGAUGUCCAAGACCUCCACAAUGAAUAUUACAGAACAUUAAAGAAAUAGAAUUAGACACAAAAAAUGGAAAAAUCUGCCAUGCUCAUGGAUUGGAAGAAUCAAUAGCAUUAAAAUGUUCAUUCUCUCAAAAGCAAUUUACAAGUUAAUUGCAAUACCAAUGAAAUACCAAAGUCAUUCUUCACAGACCUAGAAAAAAAUGAUGCUGAAAUUCAUAUGGAGAAACAGGAGACCGCAAAUAGCUAAGGCAAUCCUUUACAAUAAAAACAAAGCCAGAGGCAUCACAAUUCCAAACUUCAAGACAUACUACAGGGAAGUUAUAAUCAAAACAGCCUGGUACAGGUACAAAAACAGAUGGAUAGACCAAUGGACAGAACAGAAACAUUGGAAAUCAAUCCAAACAUCUAUAACCAACUCAUAUUUGACAAAGGGCCUAAAAAUCAACCCCUGGAACAAGGACAGCCUCUUCAACAAAUGGUGCUGGGAAAGCUGCAUACAUGUUGAAGUAUGAAGCAAGACCCCUACCUUACACCAUAUACAAAAAUCCACUCAACAUAGAUCAAAGAAAUAGAGAUACGCCAAAACACCAUGAAAUUAAUUGAGAGCAUAGGGGAAACCCUUUGAGACAUUGGAACAGGCAAAGAAUUCCUGGAGAAUACCCCAGAGGCAAAGGUAAUCAAAGAUAAAAUAAACAAAUGGGAUUACCUCAAAUUGAAAAGUUUCUUUACAGCAAAAGAAACAGUCAGGAAAGUGAAGAGACAACCAACAGAAUGGGAGACAUUAUUUGCAAACUACACAGCUGAUAAAGGAUUAACAAUUAGAAUCUAUAAAAUGAUCAAGAAACUCCACAAAAACAAAAUAAACAACCCAAUAAAAAGAGGGGCCAAGGGCUUUAACAAACAUUUUUCGAAAGAGGAAAUCCAAAUGGCCAACAGACACAUGAAAAAAUGCUCAGGAUCUCUAGCCAUCAGGGAAAUGCAAAUCAAAACCACAAUGAGGUUUCACCUCACCCCAGUUAGAAUGGCUUACAUACAGAGAUCAACUAACAACAGAUGCUCGCGAGGAUGUGGGGGAAAAGGGACAUUAAUCCACUGUUGGUGGGAAUGCAAACUGGUAAAGCCACUAUGGAAGACAGUUUGGAGAGUUCUCAGAAACCUGAAUAUAGCCCUACCAUACAACCCAGCCAUCCCACUCCUUGGAAUUUACCCAAAGGAAAUUAAACUGGAAAAAAAAAAAAAAAAGAGCUGUUUGCACCUCAAUGUUUAUUGUAGCUCAAUUCACAAUAGCUAAGACAUGGAAUCAACCUAAAUGCCCAUCAACAGUAGACUGGAUAAAGAAAUUAUGGGAUAUGUACUCUAUAGAAUACUAUACAGAAGUAAAAAACAAUGAAAUCCGGUCAUUUGCAACAAAAUGGAGGAAUCUGGAAAAUAUCAUGCUGAGUGAAAUAAGCCAGUCCAAAAGGGACAAAUAUCAUGUGUUCUCCCUGACUGAUGACAACUAACCGAGCACCUAAAAGGAAACCUGUUGAAGUGAAAUGGACACUAUGAGAAAUAAUGACUUGAUGAGCCCUUGUCUUGACUGUUGAGGAACAACGCACUGUUUUUAUUCCUUUUAAUAUGUUGUUGUUGUUUUGUUCUACUUAAUAUCAUUGGUUGAACUCUGUAAUUAAUACACAAUUAUUCUUAGGUGUUUAAAAAUAACAGAAAAGUGAUCUUUGUUAAAUAUAACAGUGGGAAUAAGAGAAGGAGGAGAUAUACAGGUCAGCACAUGCUCACUGGGACUUACCUCCAAUGGUAGAGCUAGAAAUGUGCCAGGGGAUUGCAAUUCAAUCUUAUCAAGGAGGCAUGUACUAAUGCCAUCUCACUUGUUAAAGUGAUAAGUUUAAGUACAUAAUUGAUCAAAAAGGGUAGGUGUCGAAGAGAUUUCACAAAUAAGACCGGUGUCUGCAGAUAAUGGAUAGAAUUAAAAGGAAGAGAAUGAUCCUGCAGGGGAAGCAGGAUACACAGCAGACUCAUAGAAUCGCAAAUGCCCUAAACAGCACUCCAGCCUCAGAAUCAACCCUUGGGGCAUUCAGAUCUGGCUAAAAGGCCCAUGAGAGUCUUGCAGGCAUGGAAAGCCAAGACACUGUGGCAAAAAUGACCUGAAUGAAAGAUCUCGGUGAACAAGAUCCCAGCAGAAAGAACAGGCCAUCAAAGAAGGAAGCACCUUUCUCUGAAGAGAGGAAGGAACCUCCACUGUGAUAUGGCCUAGACUAAGUUCAGAGUUGGUGAACUCGAGAGGCUUCCAUAGCCUUGACAGCUCAUGGCAAGAGCCUCGGGUGAUUACUGACAUCCAUAAAUAAGAGUGUCAAUUGUUAAAUCAACAACGGGAGUCACUGUGCACCUGCUCCCUACAUAGGAUCUCUGUCCUUAAUGUGUUUUACUAUGAGAAUUAACGGUAAAACUACUUGUUGAACAGCACUCUAUAUCUUGUGCAGUUGUGUGGGUGCAGUCUGUUGAAAUCUUUGCUUAGUAUAUACUGUUGAUCUUCUGUAUAUAAAGAUGACUGGAAAUGAA